rnacentral:rRNA from 1 species
UUUGGCAGCAAUAGUGCAGUAGAUCCACCUGAUCCCAUACCGAACUCAGAAGUGAAAUGCUGUUACGCUGAUGGUAGUGUAGGGAGUCCCUAUGUGAGAGUAAGUCACUGCCAAAU